AGCGAACGCUGGCGGCAGGCUUAACACAUGCAAGUCGAGCGGGCACUUCGGUGUCAGCGGCAGACGGGUGAGUAACACGUGGGAACGUACCCUUCGGUUCGGAAUAACGCUGGGAAACUAGCGCUAAUACCGGAUACGCCCUUUUGGGGAAAGGUUUACUGCCGAAGGAUCGGCCCGCGUCUGAUUAGCUAGUUGGUGGGGUAAUGGCCUACCAAGGCGACGAUCAGUAGCUGGUCUGAGAGGAUGAUCAGCCACACUGGGACUGAGACACGGCCCAGACUCCUACGGGAGGCAGCAGUGGGGAAUAAUGGACAAUGGGCGCAAGCCUGAUCCAGCCAUGCCGCGUGAGUGAUGAAGGCCUUAGGGUUGUAAAGCUCUUUUGUCCGGGACGAUAAUGACGGUACCGGAAGAAUAAGCCCCGGCUAACUUCGUG
rnacentral:rRNA from 1 species